rnacentral:piRNA from 1 species
ACAUGUCACUGUUGGAGCCCUCAG